rnacentral:misc_RNA from 1 species
GAAUGAAGAACGCAGCAAAAUGCGAUAAGUAAUGUGAAUUGCAGAAUUCAGUGAAUCAUCGAAUCUUUGAACGCACAUUGCGCCCGCCAGUAUUCUGGCGGGCAUGCCUGUUCGAGCGUCAUUUCAACCCUCAAGCACAGCUUGGUGUUGGGACUCGCGUUAAUUCGCGUUCCUCAAAUUGAUUGGCGGUCACGUCGAGCUUCCAUAGCGUAGUAGUAAAACCCUCGUUACUGGUAAUCGUCGCGGCCACGCCGUUAAACCCCAACUUCUGAAUGUUGACCUCGGAUCAGGUAGGAAUACCCGCUGAACUUAAGCAUAUCAAUAGCGGAGGA